rnacentral:rRNA from 1 species
CCCUUAGAUGUUCUGGGCCACACGCGCGCUACACUGAUGAAUGCAACGAGCUCUACCCUUGACCGAAAGGCCCGGGUAAACUUGUGAAACUUCAUCGUGAUGGGGAUAGAUUAUUGCAAUUAUUAAUCUUCAACGAGGAAUUCCUAGUAAGCGCGAGUCAUCAGCUCGCGUUGAUUACGUCCCUGCCCUUUGUACACACCGCCCGUCGCUCCUACCGAUUGAAUGGUCCGGUGAAAUCUUCGGAUUGCUGACCAAGAUCCAGCAAUGGAGCUUGGUUGCGAGAAGUUGAUUAAACCUUAUUAUUUAGAGGAAGGAGCAGUCGUAACA